rnacentral:rRNA from 1 species
UACAGAGGUCCCAAGCGUUGUUCGGAUUCACUGGGCGUAAAGGGUGCGUAGGUGGUCGGGUAAGUCUGAUGUGAAAUCUUCGAGCUCAACUCGAAAAUGGCAUUGGAUACUAUUCGGCUGGAGGGUUGGAAGGGGGACUGGAAUUCUCGGUGUAGCAGUGAAAUGCGCAGAUAUCAGGAAGAACACCCGUGGCUAAGGCGGCUCUCUAGUACGGUACUGACGCUGAGACGCGAAAGCGUGGGGAGCAAACAGG